rnacentral:rRNA from 1 species
AUUGAACGCUGGCGGCAUGCCUUACACAUGCAAGUCGAACGGUAACAGGUUAAGCUGACGAGUGGCGAACGGGUGAGUAAUAUAUCGGAACGUGCCCAGUCGUGGGGGAUAACUGCUCGAAAGAGCAGCUAAUACCGCAUACGACCUGAGGGUGAAAGCGGGGGAUCGCAAGACCUCGCGCGAUUGGAGCGGCCGAGGUCAGAUGAGGUAGUUGGUGGGGUAAAAGCCUACCAAGCAAACGAUCUGUAGCUGGUCUGAGAGGACGACCAGCCAAACUGGGACUGAGACACGGCCCAGACUCCUACGGGAGGAAGAAGUGGGGAAUUUUGGACAAUGAACGCAAGUCUGAUCCAGCCAUGCCGCGUGCAGGACGAAGGCCUUCGGGUUGUAAACUGCUUUUGUACGGAGCGAAACGGUCCUCUCUAAUACAGGGGGCUAAUGACGGUACCGUAAGAAUAAGCACCGGCUAACUACGUGCCAGCCGCCGCCGUAA